UGGGGAAUUUUUCGCAAUGGGGGCAACCCUGACGAAGCAAUGCCGCGUGGGUGAUGAAGCAUCUCGGUGCGUAAAACCCUUUCGACGGGGACGAAAGCCGCAAGGUUUGACGGUACCCGUAGAAGAAGCCCCGGCUAACUCCGUGCCAGCAGCCGCGGUAAUACGGGGGGGGCAAGCGUUGUUCGGAAUUACUGGGCGUAAAGGGUGCGUAGGCGGCUUUCUAAGUUGGAUGUGAAAACUCUGGGCUUAACCCAGAGCCUGCAUCCAAAACUGGAAGGCUAGGGUUCUGGAGGGGAAAGCGGAAUUCCUGGUGUAGCGGUGAAAUGCGUAGAUAUCAGGAGGAACACCGGUGGCGAAGGCGGCUUUCUGGACAGAUACCGACGCUGAGGCACGAAAGCUAGGGGAGCAAACAGG
rnacentral:rRNA from 1 species